GUAGAUCGGUAGUUUAAUUGGUAAAACACUCGUUUAGCAUACAAGAGUCUUAGGUUCGAAUCCCACCUUAGUACA
rnacentral:tRNA from 1 species